CGGAUGUACCAGUGGUGGAAGAUCCUGUCCGGCUGCACCGAGGCUCACAUCAGAAGCCGGCUUCGGUUUCACCACAAAAUAAGGCAUCUAGUGCCCAAUUCUGCCUCCAAAGCAGCCCUGGGUCACACUCGCUGUAGGACAGAUGUUAUUCUUCAGAAUCACGCCCUCUGGCAAAUGCCCAUCGUCGGACAAAUGGACGGAUGAAGUGUGACUCAGCCAUGAGAAGGGGGAUGCUCUGACCCGCGCGGCCAUGCCACCAACCCGGAGGACACGGUGCUGGGAGAAAAAGCCAGCCAGCAGUUCAGAAGUAACAGAGCAAACAGGGAGAGUCCUUCCUGGCCUGCCUGCACACCCCUGUAGCCCGCCCGGUCCUGGGGUGACUGCUGACGGAGAGGGCACUCCCUUCCAGAGUCUUCUCUGCACUUCCGCGGGCACACACAGCUAAGCGGCACACAGCGGCCGGGCUCGCUCCUCCGGACUGGGGUCUUGAGAUUUCACUGCACCUCACCCAGCCCUUUCCACAGAGCAGUUCAUCUUGGAGACUUUUCUCCUUGAAGGGUCUAAAGGCCAGUCUCUGUGUGCUGGUGUUUGUUGUCGGGGAGGAUGCAACAUUGGGGAAGGAAGUAAUCAUGUCUGGUGGCAGCUGGCACUGGCAGGCAGCGGGCACUCGAAGCCUGCACCUCACACCUGUCCCUGUGGGGCCUAUCCCUCCGCAUGACGGGCAUGAAGCCCCCACCUGCCUCCACUGCCCGGAUGAAAUGAGCUCGUAGAUGACGGAGUUGAUGACGUAGGAAUCAUUCUGGACUUGCAUCUCCACAUCGUAGCUGUGACUGUUCGCCACAGCGAGGAAGAUCCUCUCCCCGAUCUGGAAGACCUCCCAGUCUGCAGCACCGAACGUCUAGGACCAAAGGAGAGCAGGCCCCAGUGCUGUGCGUCCUAGGAGCACCACCUGCUGUCUCACCUCUUCCAGGAAGCCCACCCUGAUCUCUCUAGUCCUAGCCUCAGACACUGAAGCAACAUCAGGCAGAUGUCACCCACCCCUUGGGACUUCUCCGUGGGUCGCUAGCCCAGACCCUCCCCUUGGCUCAGGUGGUUCCAUUUCUGCCCCUUUGCUGCUGGCCCCCUUCUGAGGAUGCCCGUGUGAGUCCAGGACCACUGCUCCAGUCCUUGGUGUAGAUCAAAGCUGGACUUCACAUGCAGCCUGAAAAUGUAGAGUGGCCACCUUCUGGGCUGGGCUGCCACCUCUACCACAUCACCCGUGACAGAAGCCCCGUGUUUUUCAGUAACCACGUUCCACGAACACCUCCCGACUGCCUUCCAGAACACACGAAGAUCAACAAAGCUCAGAAUCCAGUCCCGAUGUCAUUUCAUGAAGAGCAGGUAGUCCAUCAAAGGGAUGGGCCCCAUGAGUGAAGGGCUGAGACCCCACCAUGGUGUGAGGCGUCCCAGGCACUCCCGUCACGGCCCAAACCAGGCUGCAGGCUCCAUCCCCAUGGGGCAGGCAUAGAGGAGGCAAUUCAUGUGGACACAGGGACACCUGUGGAUGCCCUGGCUCGGCUGCUUACCGCCGUGUGUUUGUGGCCAGGUCCAUGCUCCUGAGCCUCAGUUUCCACACCUGUGAGAUGGGUCUGAGGUGGAAUUGCCAACCAGCUGAGGAUGUGCAGACACAGACCACCUUCCAGGAAUCUCCAAAAGGCUUUCCAAAACAGGAAGACAAGGAAGGCUGCCAUCAGCAGGAAUUCCAGGGCUUCCAGAAUGAGGCUGUCAGGAGUGAAGGGAGCCAUGCUCCACACACAGGGCAGGGGCCAGGGCUGCCAGGUCUUGUUUAUCUGGGAGCGCCAGGCUGCCUGCCUGCACCUGAUCUGGGCACCCGAAGGCAGAGCUGCUCCUGCUUAGGGUCUGUGGCAACUGUCCUCCUCAGUGGGUGCUGCUGGGAGCUCCUCUGAUUCCUGGUGGGUGGCUUCUGGCCUCACCUCUUCACCCACGAUGUAGGGUGUGGGAUGGAUAUGCAGGGCCUCUGCUCUCCUUCUCCUCUCCCCACUCCCCCAAGCAGCCUGGGUUGUACCUCCACUAAUAAACACCAACACCCGUGCCCAGGGUUGGUUUGGC
rnacentral:antisense_RNA from 1 species